GCCCAGAGUCUUAAUCAAUGGCAGCAUCAGGAGAACGGUCUGGAAAGUCCGGCAGUAAAGGGUGAUAGCCCCGUAUCCGAAGAUGCUGUUAUUGUGAACUCGACGAGUAGGGCGGGACACGUGUUAUCCUGUCUGAAUAUGGGGGGACCAUCCUCUAAGGCUAAAUACUCCUGAUUGACCGAUAGUGAACCAGUACCGUGAGGGAAAGGCGAAAAGAACCCCGGCGAGGGGAGUGAAAAAGAACCUGAAACCGUGUACGUACAAGCAGUAGGAGCCUCUUUAUGGGGUGACUGCGUACCUUUUGUAUAAUGGGUCAGCGACUUAUAUUCUGUAGCAAGGUUAACCGUAUAGGGGAGCCGUAGGGAAACCGAGUCUUAACUGGGCGAAUGAGUUGCAGGGUAUAGACCCGAAACCCGGUGAUCUAUCCAUGGGCA
rnacentral:rRNA from 1 species